AGAGUUUGAUCCUGGCUCAGGAUGAACGCUAGCGGCAGGCUUAACACAUGCAAGUCGAGGGGCAGCGGGAGUAGCAAUACUUGCCGGCGACCGGCGCAAGGGUGCGUAACGCGUGAGCAACAUGCCCGUAUCAGGGGGAUAAUCCAGGGAAACUUGGUCUAAUACCCCAUAGUAAUCUUAGGAGGCAUCUUUUAAGAUUUAAAGCUUUGGUGGAUACGGAUUGGCUCGCGUGACAUUAGCUAGAUGGUAGGGUAACGGCCUACCAUGGCUACGAUGUCUAGGGGUUCUGAGAGGAAGAUCCCCCACACUGGAACUGAGACACGGUCCAGACUCCUACGGGAGGCAGCAGUGAGGAAUAUUGGACAAUGGAUGGAAAUCUGAUCCAGCCAUGCCGCGUGCAGGAAGACUGCCCUAUGGGUUGUAAACUGCUUUUGUAUGGGAGCAAUAAGCCCUUCGUGAAGGGUGAUGAGAGUACCAUACGAAUAAGCAUCGGCUAACUCCGUGCCAGCAGCCGCGGUAAUACGGAGGAUGCAAGCGUUAUCCGGAUUUAUUGGGUUUAAAGGGUGCGUAGGCGGUUGGAUAAGUCAGCGGUGAAAGUUUUCUGCUUAACAGGAAAAAUGCCGUUGAUACUGUCUGGCUAGAAUAUGGUUGCUGUGAGUGGAAUGUGUGGUGUAGCGGUGAAAUGCUUAGAUAUCACACAGAAUAUCGAUUGCGAAGGCAGCUCACAAAGCCAUUAUUGACGCUGAGGCACGAAAGUGUGGGGAUCAAACAGGAUUAGAUACCCUGGUAGUCCACACUGUAAACGAUGAUAACUCGCUGUCGGCGAUACACAGUCGGUGGCCAAGCGAAAGCGAUAAGUUAUCCACCUGGGGAGUACGACCGCAAGGUUGAAACUCAAAGGAAUUGACGGGGCCCGCACAAGCGGAGGAACAUGUGGUUUAAUUCGAUGAUACGCGAGGAACCUUACCCGGGCUCGAACGGCUUUAGAAUAUAUCAGAGAUGGUAUAGCCAGCAAUGGCUGAAGUCGAGGUGCUG
rnacentral:rRNA from 1 species